UACGUAGGGUGCGAGCGUUGUCCGGAAUUAUUGGGCGUAAAGAGCUCGUAGGCGGUCUGUCGCGUCGAUCGUGAAAACUUGGGGCUUAACCCUGAGCUUGCGGUCGAUACGGGCAUGACUGGAGUUCGGCAGGGGAGACUGGAAUUCCUGGUGUAGCGGUGAAAUGCGCAGAUAUCAGGAGGAACACCGGUGGCGAAGGCGGGUCUCUGGGCAGUAACUGACGCUGAGGCGCGAAAGCGUGGGGAGCGAACAGG
rnacentral:rRNA from 1 species